AGCCAGCAUGGUAUAGUGGUUUGAGCACUGGACUAUGAUUCCUGAGACCAGGGUUCAAAUCACUGCUUGGCUA